rnacentral:rRNA from 1 species
CCGGACCGGCGCACGGGUGAGUAACACGUAUGCAACCUGGCCGUGACAGAUGGAUAACCGGGAGAAAUCCCGCCUAAUACAGCAUGACGCCGCGGGAGGACAUCCUCCCGCGGCCAAAGGGGCGACCCGGUCACGGAUGGGCAUGCGGCGCAUUAGGUAGUUGGUGGGGCAACGGCCCACCAAGCCGACGAUGCGUAGGGGUUCUGAGAGGAAGGUCCCCCACAUUGGAACUGAGACACGGUCCAGACUCCUACGGGAGGCAGCAG